rnacentral:rRNA from 1 species
UACGAAGGGGCUAGCGUUGCUCGGAAUUACUGGGCGUAAAGGGCGCGUAGGCGGAUAGUUUAGUCAGAGGUGAAAGCCCAGGGCUCAACCCUGGAAUUGCCUUUAAGACUGCAUCGCUAGAAUUGUGGAGAGGUAAGUGGAAUUCCGAGUGUAGAGGUGAAAUUCGUAGAUAUUCGGAAGAACACCAGUGGCGAAGGACGACUUACUGGACACAUAUUGACGCUGAGG